GUGCUCGCCUCGGCAGCACAUAUCUAAAAUCGGAACGAUACAGAGAUUAGCAUGGCCCCUGCGCAAGGAUGACCCACAAAUUCGUGAAGCGUUCCAUAUUAAA
rnacentral:snRNA from 1 species